rnacentral:rRNA from 1 species
GACGAACGCUGGCGGCGUGCCUAAUACAUGCAAGUCGAGCGAAGCGGCGGAUGGGUGAGUAACGCGUGGGUAACCUGCCCUUCAGUCUGGGAUACCAUUUGAAAACAGAUGCUAAUACCGGAUACUAAAGGAUGGACCUGAGAUGCAUUAGCUAGUUGGUAAGGUAACGGCUUACCUAGGCGAUGAUGCAUAGACGGGGUGGGAAAAUGACCGGCCACAUUGGGACUUAGACACGGCCCAAACUCCUACGGGAGGCAGCAGUAGGGAAUAUUCCACAAUGGACGAAAUUCUGAUGGAGCCACGCCGCGUGAGUGAAGAAGGUUUUCGGAUCGUAAAGCUCUGUUGUUGGUGAAGCGGUAAUCAACCAGAAAGUCACGGCUAACUACGUGCCAGCAGCCGCGGUAAUUC